CAAGUACUAAAUUUUUUACUUGAAUUAUUGACAUAAAAUAACUGCUUAUAAACCAAGAAGAAUUUUUUGCGUGGUAAAAAUCGUAUUAUUAAAAUUUGUGCAAAGGGAUAAAUUUU
rnacentral:ncRNA from 23 species